UACAGAGGUGGCAAGCGUUGUUCGGAAUUACUGGGCGUAAAGCGUGCGCAGGCGGUUAUUUAAGUCAGGUGUGAAAGCCCUGGGCUUAACCUAGGAAUUGCGCUUGAGACUGGAUAGCUUGGAGUGCGGCAGAGGGAGGUGGAAUUCCACGUGUAGCAGUGAAAUGCGUAGAGAUGUGGAGGAACACCGAUGGCGAAGGCAGCCUCCUGGGCCAGCACUGACGCUCAUGCACGAAAGCGUGGGGAGCAAACAGG
rnacentral:rRNA from 1 species